rnacentral:rRNA from 1 species
CACGUAGGGGGCGAGCGUUGUCCGGAUUUAUUGGGCGUAAAGAGCUCGUAGGCGGUUCGAUAAGUCGGGUGUGAAACCUCCAGGCUCAACCUGGAGACGCCACCCGAUACUGUUGUGACUGGAGUCCGGUAGGGGAGCGUGGAAUUCCUGGUGUAGCGGUGGAAUGCGCAGAUAUCAGGAGGAACACCAAUAGCGAAGGCAGCUCGCUGGGACGUUACUGACACUGAGGCGCGAAAGCGUGGGGAGCGAACAGG